rnacentral:tRNA from 1 species
UCCCUGGUGGUCUAGUGGUUAAGACUCUGUACUUCCAAUGUGAGAUCAAAUCCAGGUUUGACCCCUAGUCAGGGAA